CCUCUGGAGAAUCAUACCAAUGAAAGUAGCUUUAUAGCAAAAUCGGAUUUGAUGAAUGAGGAA
rnacentral:ncRNA from 1 species